UGAAUCCACACCAAUCAGCAGGCCUGAAUAUGGGCCAAUCACAGGCCUGAGUCCAGACCAAUCAGCAAGCCCGAAUAUGGCUGGCCGCUCGUAUAUAAGCUGGCUCUCCUCAGCUCUGCGCGGGGUUUCCUCGAUACUAGGAAGGGGUUGUUCUGGCGGUUUUGUAAAUGUUUGUGUGAUUGAUUUCUAAUGUAGUGUGGGCUGGGUGGGCCUUGCUAAGUAUACUUAGCGAGAGGUGUGGCCAGAGUGGUUGCUUUAAAAGACCCUUAGAGUCUAGGCUUUAACCUCUACGAGCUCCGUGCGGGCCCGCGCCCGGCGGCACCAGAGCAGCGCGCUGACCCCGAGGGCUGAGGGACGAGGGCGGCCAGGGCCCAGGGCUGCCAGGGCCCAGGGCUGCCAGCAGAGCUGCGCUGCACUGGUCCCGGUGACUCCGAUGGCACAGCCAGGACACCUUGCCGGCUGGGAGCGUGCAGCCGGGUCAGGAGCCGCUGACAGAGGCUGGGACAGUAAGAAUUCUCACCCCCGUCAGCCCUCCUGGCUAUCUACCUGCACCAAGCAGUUCAGAGAAGGUCCAGCUGCUGCUUUCCUGUUCGUCUCCGUUGUGUCCCAAGGACUUGUCAAGAUUGAGACUUCACAAAAUCAGAAAUGUGACUCUAAAAAGGAAUCCUGAAGCCACCCAUCCUUACUGAUCCUUAGACCUGCCCAGUUCAUCUCAAGACACAUGCAGAGUGGAAAAGUCAGACAGUGUGGAGUAACUGUCCUGCGCUUAAGGAAAAGAGGGGGCAGUUUAGUAAUACCCUGCAACUAGAAUACGAGGCAGAUGUGCCUCCAGACUUUUUGGAGGAGACUGAUAUCCUCUCUGUGCUUGUGAGCUGUACAUCUUCCACUCUGCCUUCUCCUGACCCCAUAAAAACUCCCCUCACUGCAGGGGAACAGAAGUGGGGAACAGCCCGGAAAAUGGGAAUUUUGAAAAGUUUCUUCUACAGAUAUUAAAAUGAAGCUCUAGUCAUCCAAGCGGAUAAAGCCACUUGUUCUGUUAAUUUGUUCUAUCUGCCAGAAGCAGUUUGAAUCCAGCUAGGUAUAAUAUAUUUCAUAAGCUAGUUCAGAGGACUUAGUGCCUUCCUCAGGGACCUGGGUUUGAUUCUCAUGGUGUUGAGUUCUCACUGUUUUGAAGAAUGGAUUUAUGACAGGAGAGCAGCUGUCACAAAGCCAGGGCACUGACCCAUCACUUGCCUGGUGAAUUCUACAGUGUUACAGCUCAGCGUUAGGCCCUCUGCAUAUACACCAGCCCCGAUCAUGGAUGUACUGCCAUCUAGAUCCCUGAGGCUAAAUAAAUAUUUUGUCUCUAUAAACU